UGAACUGGAUGAUCGUUCUCUAGUGGAGGAGAUCCAACAGUCCCUGAGAUCAGGACGUCUCUCCACAGAUGAACUGUCUCCUGCUCAGUGGUCAGCUCUGGUCUUCAUCUUACUGUCAUCAGAUCUGGAUGAGUUCGACCUGUGGAAAUACUCUGGUUCAGAGAAGGCAUUUUUGAAGCUGCUGCCAGUGGUCAAAGCAUCCAAGAAAGUGCUGCUGAGUUAUUGCAAACUCUCAGAAAGAAUCGUUGAAGCUUUGUCUGAAAUUCUCAGCUCCCCAUCCAAUCAUCUGAGAGAGCUGGACCUGAGCUUGAACAAGCUGCAGGAUUCAGAAUUGGAUUUGCUGUGUGUUGGACUAAAGAGUCCUCACUGUAAACUUGAAACUCUCAGGAGCUGCCCUCAGAUUCAGACCUCAGCACCACCCAGUGACAGCAGACAGAUCAUCCUAUAGCUUCACUCUUUGUAGUAACUCCAUAAUGAACUGAUGAAAACAGUACAAAGGUUAAAGUACCACAUGUGCUGUCAGUGAAAGCUGCAGCUGUUUAAAGAUAAAGUUAAAAGGAUGAAUCACCCAUGUAACUGUGUCACUGUAUAUCAGCAUCAACAGGACCUGAGUUUGGUGUUUCAGAGAGCUGUUGUCUAGGUCUGUGUGCUGUUAUUGCUCAGUUUGACCGGACGAUGGACAGACUCAAGUUUGACUUUGAAACAACUGUGUUGUUAAACAGUUUCAUGGUUCAAAAAACAAAACAAUCAAAAACACUUUUUUCAUACUUGUGUUAAGUUUUGUAUAGAAAUGAGACAAAAUUGAUUGUGAGGUUAAAUGUGAUAGAAACAGCUCACACUGACAUCCAUCCUGAUCAAACAUGAGUGUCAUGAAGCCUGUUUGCAGUUAUUUGCACUGCUUUCCACUCUGGAUGUUGUUUCUGUUCAGCUGUAAGUAUAAAAGGCUCCACUCUACAACCUGUUUGUGUUAUUUGUUCAAUAGAAACAUUAUUUUGUGCUGUUGUUGCACUUCUUUUAUUCACAACCAAAGAGUUUUUUAAAAUCUUCAUCAAAUUGCAUUUAAAUGACUUUUAAAUAUUACUUUAAAUAUUUAGAUUUAAAUUUCUGAUAAACGUUUAAUUACAAGUAUCAGUAUUGUCUAAUGUUUUGGCUGCAGUGUGUUUUUGCAGACAGGUAUAACAGAACAGCUUUAGUGUUUACAUUUUUUAAACUUGAGUAUGAACUUAUACAAAAUGCAGCAAGAUAUUAAAAAACAAUUUGAUUAUAAAAUCGACUAUAUGGCAUUCAUAUCGAUAUUGGGCAAAAAAAAGUGGCAUCGUUCCAUCUCUAGAUUUAUUACAGACACAGCUCAGUGUUUUCCAAUUUGGCAUCAUUUUAAAAAGUUUACAUUUCUUCAGUGUUGAACAGCAGACAUUAGACUUUCCUGUUGGAAGUCAUUUUUUAAAAUAUGAGGUGUGUAAUAAUAAUCAACAGAAAAAUGCAGAAACAGAUGUUUGAAGCUGUUCUUGGAGUACACUGAGAGAGAGAGAGCUGUGCAGGCAGUAACAGCCAAAGUCAGAGAGAAUUCAUGAGCAUAUUUAUCAAACGUGAAGCAGAGUUUGGAUCUUCUUUUGCUGCUGGUUCACUCAGUUUUGGUUGGAGACGGAUGAAACCUGCAGCUUCAGGAUCUGUGAGCUGUCCACUUUCGGCCCCGACGGCGU